rnacentral:lncRNA from 1 species
GUUCUGUGUCCUGUAUGACCCCAAGCAAGCCUUGGGAAUCACACACCUUCACUGGUGUCUUUUAUAAAUGAAAAUUUCAGGACAAAAACAUCAUAUAUUGACCAUGGCAGGUGUUGUGCUUAGGGUGGGGGUAUGGGGGCUCACAGUCUGGUAAGGAAGGCAAACAAGUGAAUGUUCCAUCAGAAUGUGAUGGGGUCAGGGGCUAAAAGCAUGUGUGGGAGAAAUGUAAGUUCUCCUUAUAGAACGUAGCCUUUUUGUAGCCCUGUUCAACACAGUCCUACACCAGGCAGCAGGCCCCGAACAAGAGUAGGUCUUGAUGCUCUAGCAGAUCACUUCCUCCAGCCAGUGUGGUAUAGAGAGGAGGCUACUGAGGGCCUCACUAAUACACAGGAGGAGGCCAGGACAGAACUAUUGGUCUCAAUUCUUUCAUACAGUGGUGCAGGUAAGCUGGUUCCCUUCUGUUCUUAAAGAACUCUGUGGGCUCUGGAAGGAGACCAGAGCAAAUAUAAGAGCCAUUACCAAACAAUGGAGACAGGAUCUCAGGCUAGAGUGCAGUGUCAUGAUCACAGCUCACUGCAGCCUCAGCCUCCCAGGCUCAAGCAAUCCUCCCAUCUCAGCCUCCUGAGUAGCUGGGACUACAGGUGUGUGCCACCAUGCCUGGCUAAUUUUUGUAUUUUUUGUAGAGAUGAGGACUCACUUUGUUGCUCAGGCUGGUCUUGAACUCCUGGACUCAGGCAGUCCUUCUGCCACAGCCUCCCAAAGCACUGGGAUUACAGGUGUAAGCCACUGCGCCUGGCCUUCCUUCCAGAAUUCUUAUAUGUAUGUUGGAUUUACUGAAUCUCUCUCACUCAUUGCUUUUAUCUUCUUUAUCAUCAGUCAUUCCUUUAUUCUUUUUCUCUGAGUUCUGGAAAAAUGUUGUGAGCUUGUUUUAUAAGCUUCCAUUUCCUAUGGUAUCACUUUGUAUUUCUAUUGCAUUUUAAAACACACAUUUUGCAUGUGUAUGCAUGCUUAUGUACACAUGUAUACGCAUGUAACUGUGUGUUUAUGUGUAUAUACAUGUGCACACAUUUGCUAUCUCUAUCUGCUGAAGAGGACAUGAAGCAAAGAAACCCCAGUAGCAAGAAGCCACAUUGUGCUCAGGUCUUAGUUUCUAACAAACACCAUUCCCCAUUAAAAGGAACCAGAGCUCCUUAGAGAAAUGGAUGAUUCCAGGGCUGUGGCAGGGUAGGUACAAGAUGAACCUAAAGUGUCAUUUUAUACCAGAAAGUAAGAAAGUAUUAAAGUGUUUAAAAAAGUGAUGGGAGCAUAUCACAAGGAUUCAGAAGGGAUACCAACUGGCUAAAUCUGGAACAAUUUGAUCACCAAAGUAAGUACAAUAAUAAAUUCUAAGCUAUUGAAGUAAAGGCAUUUAUUAUGCGUAGUAAUAAUAAAUAGAUAAUGAGAGAGAAAUGAGGACUCAUGCUUACAGUAAAAUGCCAGGAGCUGACUGGCAUAAAUGUGGAAGGAAGGCUGGAGUGGGAAAAUUAUUAUUUUGCAACCAUCAUGGUAAUUACCAGAUCAGAUAAGGAUCAACAGAUGCCAAAUCUAGGGCAAAUUUGAUGAGGAGCAGAAUAUUUGCACUGUCUUUGAGAGUUUCUCCCAGAGAUCACUUAUUUGUUGUAAAAAAAAAGAAAGAAAGAAAAAGAAACAACAAUUAGUGGAGAAAUCAGACAAUAAUUUGACCAGGUGAUUAAAAAUUAACAUCACCAAUGAAGGACAUAGGGACAUGAUCUGCCUUCAGAUGUGAUACUGGAGAAGGAAGGAUACAAUAUCACUUAUGUAGUAGUCCAGCUGAGAAUGAGUAUCAUUUUUAAAAACCAUAAAAACACAACAUGAGGAACUUUCUAUGAACAAAAAAAAUGGCAAAAGGGGACUGUAUACUUCAAAGAUGUCUGUUACAAAAGAAAGAAAGGCUAUGGAAAUGUUCCAGAUUAAAAGAAACUAAGAGACAUGACAAAUGCAGUGCUUGACCCUGGACCAGAUGCUAUAAUUGAGGCAAAAAAUGCAAUCUAGGACAUUAUUAGGUCAACUGACAAAACUGAAAUAUGGACAGUAGAUUAAAAUAUUGUAUCAAUAUAAUAUAUGAAAUUUGGAAUUGCACUGUGGUUAUAUAAAAGAAUAUCCCUACUCUUAGGAAAUGCAUACUUGAGUAUUUAUGUAACUUGCCCUUAAAUAGUUCAGAAAAAAAAAUUGUGUGUGUGUAUAUGUGCAUACACAUGCCCAUGCACAGAGCAUGUGAAUGCAAAUGAUAAAGCAAAUGGGUAAAAUGUCAACAAAAGGCAAAGAUAAACAGUAUAGAUAUAUAUCUAUACCUAUGGAAGAUAGAAGGUACACAAUUUUUUUUUACUACUUUUUCCUACAACUUUGAAGAUUGGAACUCAUUUUCAGAUAAAAAGUUUUAAAAUGCAUGGAAAUUAUCAAGUAGAUAUCACAAAAUGUCUGUCAAAGGACAUUUGCUCUUAAUCCCCAGUUUGUCUUUAUCUUUUCAUGUGUUUGGAGAUGAUAUCUCUGCUCUUUCUUACAGAUGAAGUUGUUUAUUUGUCUAAUAUUUGAUGUUGAAACAACUGCUGUCAAAGAUUGUAUGGGACUCUAGCCAUAUCUUUGAGUUUAGACAAAGACUGGAAGAGUUUAGAUUUACUGUCAUUUUACUUUUUGUCAGAUCAGAGCUUUGAUAGCCUAGUGAUUCCAGCUUUUUAAUACUCUGAGAUCUCCAAAAUGGAUGAUGUGCACAUGUGUAAGAUGCAUGAGGCCCAGCAUUUGGGUGUGACUCUAUCACUUUUUGUCCCACUCAAGAAAGUAAACUGGAGUUCAAGUUAAU